rnacentral:rRNA from 1 species
GCCAAUAAAAGCCCAUCCACCCACCAACACAAUUAUAUCAAAUCUUAACGAAAACAUUAAUUUAAUCACAGUAUAGGUGAUAGAACAGAUAAAUAGGCGCAUUAAUGUAAGUACCGCAAGGGAAAUCUGAAAGACAAGAUUCAAAGCACCAUAAAGCAAAGAUUAAACCUUCUACCUUUUGCAUAAUGAUUUAGCUAGUCAAACCGGACAAAAAGAAUUACGCCCGUCCCCCCGAAAUCAAGUGAGCUACUAUAAAACAGUAAACCAGAACCAACCCGUCUAUGUAGCAAAAUAGUGGGAAGAUUUUAUAGUAGAGGUGAAAGGCCUACCGAACUUGAAGAUAGCUGGUUGUCCAAAAUAUGAAUUUAAGUUCAACUUUAAAUUUAACUAAAGUACCCAAAAACAUAAUUUAAAUUUAAAAGCUAAUCAAAAGGGGGACAACCCUUUUGAUUACGUAAACAAACUUUCCAAGAGGAUAAUGAACCGCUCCAACCCAUUGUGGGCUUAAAAGCAGCCAUCAAUUAAGAAAGCGUUAAAGCUCAAAUCUACCAACAUAAUAAUUCCUAAAAUCCCAAUCAAAAUCCCUUCUCCUAAAUUGGACAAUUCUAUAAACAUAUAGAAGAUAUAAUGCUAAAAUUAGUAACAAGAAAUAUUUCUCCUUGCACAAGCCUACAUUAGCAACGGAAUCUCCACUAACAAUUAACAAACCUAUAGACAUAACCAAAGUACUAGAAGACUAUUAACCCAACUGUUAACCCAACACAGGUGUGCACCUAAGGAAAGAUUAAAAAGAAUAAAAGGAACUCGGCAAACACAAACCCCGCCUGUUUACCAAAAACAUCACCUCUAGCAUAAUAAAUAUUAGAGGCAACGCCUGCCCGGUGAGUUUAACUUUAACGGCCGCGGUAUCCUGACCGUGCAAAGGUAGCAUAAUCACUUGUCUCUUAAUUAGGGACUCGCAUGAAUGGCAUAACGAGGGUUCGACUGUCUCUUAUUCUUGAUCAGUGAAAUUGACCUUCCCGUGCAGAGGCGGGAAUACAGAUACAAGACGAGAAGACCCUGUGGAGCUUAAGAUUAAUAACUUAACCAAACCAAAUAACACCCAACAUGGCAUAACAACAUAAACCCCUAAGUUAUAAUCUUUGGUUGGGGUGACCUCGGAGUAUAACAUAACCUCCGAAUGACUAAACCCAGAUCUACAAAUCUAAGUAUAAUAAUAUCAGUAAUUGACCCAUAUAUUGAUCAACGGAACAAGUUACCCCAGGGAUAACAGCGCAAUCCUAUUCAAGAGCCCAUAUCGACAAUUAGGGUUUACGACCUCGAUGUUGGAUCAGGACAUCCAAAUGGUGCAUCCGCUAUUAAUGGUUCGUUUGUUCAACGAUUAAAGUCCUACGUGAUCUGAGUUCAGACCGGAGAAAUCCAGGUCGGUUUCUAUCUGUACAUUCAUUCCUCCCAGUACGAAAGGACAAGAGAAAUAAGGCCAACAUUACCAGAUAAGCCUUCGAAACAAGAUAUGAACUCAUCUAAAUAUCCAAAUUCAAUACUUCAAACCUCUAGAAAUAGAGCUA